rnacentral:rRNA from 1 species
CUUUAUCAUGGCUCAGGAUGAACGCUAGCUACAGGCUUAACACAUGCAAGUCGAGGGGCAGCAUGAACUUAGCUUGCUAAGUUUGAUGGCGACCGGCGCACGGGUGAGUAACACGUAUCCAACCUUCCGUUUACUCAGGGAUAGCCUUUCGAAAGAAAGAUUAAUACCUGAUAGUAUGGUGAGAUUGCAUGAUAACACCAUUAAAGAUUCAUUGGUAAACGAUGGGGAUGCGUUCCAUUAGGUAGUAGGCGGGGUAACGGCCCACCUAGCCAACGAUGGAUAGGGGUUCUGAGAGGAAGGUCCCCCACAUUGGAACUGAGACACGGUCCAAACUCCUACGGGAGGCAGCAGUGAGGAAUAUUGGUCAAUGGGCGCGAGCCUGAACCAGCCAAGUAGCGUGAGGGAUGAAGGUCCUACGGAUUGUAAACUUCUUUUAUAAGGGAAUAAAGUCGCCUACGUGUAGGCGUUUGUAUGUACCUUAUGAAUAAGCAUCGGCUAACUCCGUGCCAGCAGCCGCGGUAAUACGGAGGAUGCGAGCGUUAUCCGGAUUUAUUGGGUUUAAAGGGAGCGUAGACGGAGGAUUAAGUCAGUUGUGAAGGUUUGCGGCUCAACCGUAAAAUUGCAGUUGAUACUGGUCCCCUUGAGUGCAGUUGAGGCAGGCGGAAUUCGUGGUGUAGCGGUGAAAUGCUUAGAUAUCACGAAGAACCCCGAUUGCGAAGGCAGCCUGCUAAGCUGUAACUGACGUUGAUGCUCGAAAGUGUGGGUAUCAAACAGGAUUAGAUACCCUGGUAGUCCACACGGUAAACGAUGGAUACUCGCUGUUGGCGAUAUACUGUCAGCGGCCAAGCGAAAGCAUUAAGUAUCCCACCUGGGGAGUACGCCGCCAACGGUGCAACUCAAAUGAAUUGACGGA